rnacentral:rRNA from 1 species
UACGUAAGGUGCAAGCGUUAAUCGGAAUUACUGGGCGUAAAGCGUGCGCAGGCGGUUUUGUAAGACAGGCGUGAAAUCCCCGGGCUCAACCUGGGAAUUGCGCUUGUGUCUGCAAAGCUGGAGUGCGGCAGAGGGGGAUGGAAUUCCGCGUGUAGCAGUGAAAUGCGUAGAUAUGCGGAGGAACACCGAUGGCGAAGGCAAUCCCCUGGGCCUGCACUGACGCUCAUGCACGAAAGCGUGGGGAGCAAACAGG